AACGAACGCUGGCGGCGUGGCUAAGGCAUGCAAGUCGAACGGUCAUACUUUGAAGGCAACGGAUGAGUAUGAUAGUGGCGAACGGGUGAGGAAUACAUAGAUAACGUACCCUAGACUCAGGGAUAGCGGCGGGGAAACCCUUUGCGAAAGUGCCGGUAAUACCUGAUGACCCCGUAGGAUCGCAUGAUCCAGCGGGCAAAGCUCAGGCGGUCUGGGAUCGGUUUAUGCCCAUCAGCUAGUUGGUGAGGUAACGGCUCACCAAGGCUGCGACGGGUAUCGGGCGUGAGAGCGUGACCCGACACAUCGGAACUGAGACACGGUCCGGACACCUACGGGUGGCUGCAGCAACGAAUAUUCCGCAAUGGGCGCAAGCCUGACGGAGCGACGCCGCGUGCAGGAAGAAGUCCCUCGGGAUGUAAACUGCUGUCGAGGGGU
rnacentral:rRNA from 1 species